ensembl:lncRNA
UUGGGGUCAGUGCAUUAUAUAUUAGUCAUCUACAGAGGGUGCAAAAUGCUGCAGCUCGUCUUUUAACAGGCACUCGAAAGUUUGAGCACAUUUCCCCUGUUUUAGCUUCACUUCACUGGCUGCCCAUUUCUUUUAGGAUUCAUUUUAAAAUUCUUUUAUUUACUUUUAAAGCUCUCCAUGGCCUAGCUCCAUCUUAUCUCUCUGAGCUGCUACAGCCUUAUACACCCACCCGCUCUCUCAGGUCAGCUGAUCAGCUGCUCCUGAAGAUACCCAGGACUGGGCGUAAACUUAGAGGAGAUCGUGCUUUUGCUGUAGCAGCUCCAAAACUGUGGAACGAGCUUCCUUUAGAGAUCAGACAGGCCACUUCUUUAUCUGUUUUUAAGUCACUCUUGAAAACCCACCUCUUUACCCUGGCCUUUGACACCACGUGAGAUGUUGGUUUUUUAUUUUAGUUGUUUUUAGGUGAUUUGAUGCCGUUUUAUCUUGUUUUUGUUUUAACAUAGGGCUGUUUUAAUUUUGUUUUAUGUGUUUUAUUUAUUUAUUUUGCUGUUUUCUGUUAUUCUAUUGUUUUAACUUAUUUUCUGUACAGCACUUUGUUCCUGUGCUGGGUAUUUUAAAGUGCUUUAUAAAUAAAAUUGGAUUGGAUUGGAUUAUCUCACUUUACUUUGACCAUAAGCAAUCUGUCACAUCCACCAACUCAGCUCUAGUCAGAGUAUUUCAGAAACUGCAGAUAUGCUGGCAUUUGAAGAUGUCAGAAAAAGAAAAUAUCCAGUGAGUGGCAAAAAUGCUUUGUUGAUACUAGAGGUCAAAAGAGAAAGGCCACACUGCUUUAAGCUAUCAGGAAGGAAAAGUAACUUAAGUAACCACUCAUUACAAAAAAGCUAUGCACGAGUCUCUGAAUGCACAAUAGGUUGAACCUUGAAACAGAUGGAGUACAUCUACGCAAGACCGGGUGUCAAUCGUGUAAGAACAGGAUAUUAAGAGCUCGAUUCACAUGGGGUAACCAAAAUUGGACAACAGAAAAUAAAGUUGGGGGGGGAAAUGGCCUUGUCUGAUAUAUCUCAAAUUCUAUUGCAAUGUUCAGAUGGUACGAUCAGAAUUUGGAGUAAUCAACAUGAAAGCAUGGAUCCUUCCUCGCUAUCAGUGGGAUUAGAGUUGGGGCUGUUUUUGUUUUUUUGUUUUUUUUUCCCUUGGGAAAUAUCUUCUCACAGUCUUUGAGCUUAGUACCAGCUGACCACAGGCUACAUGAUUACUGCUGCUGAUCAUGUCCUUCAUGACCUUAAACAUGACGAUGAGUUCCAUGUACUCAAAUUGCUUUCACAGUUACCAGAUCUCAGUCCAGUAGAGCGACCACGGAAUGUAGCAGAACAGGAGAUUCCCAUCAUUGAUGUGUAGCCAACAGAUCUAUGUGAUGCUGUCAUGUUAUCAUUUUGUUGAAUCCUUGAUCCAGAACAAUCUCAGUCUCAUCAAAGUUUUUUUUUUUCUAUUCAAGUGAGAACUUCCUCUUGUAAUCCUGUUGUGUAUGUUUCACAGCACAGACAUCCAUGGAGUCCUGUCACUUCUUAAAUUACUGUUUUGAUCAGACAAGGAAAAACUGCAGAUCUCUCUCGGGACAGAGACAAACAUUUCUCUUUCAAACAUGCAUCCUAGUGUUCCUCGGGACGAACAGAUGGAAAUAAUUCCUUGUAUUCAUUUUAAAGUGUUGGGUUAGCACACAAUCGCGCAUCUUGAUGUAGACUUUUAGAUAUUUUGCUCCUAUUGCUUGAAUUCCUGUUCAUUGCCCUACAAGGUCUGCAAAAACA